GUGUGCUUCCAGACUCUGACCCAUAUCUGCAUUUUAUUGAACAAAUGAAUUUGGCUACUAAAGACUGAUCCUGGGAUGACAUCUUAGAUAUUCCUUCACCAAGAAUAGAUAACAGAGCAGGAACCAAAAAUUUCCUGGUGCCUCACUCCAAGUUGCAAUAUCAGCUCUUGCCAUAAAAAUAGGAUCAACGCUGAAGGAAGCAAUGAGAUCCAGAAACAAACCUAUGGGAAUUGAUUUAACUUCAUAGAUGUUAUGUUAAGACUUCAGACUUUGUUUGGAAUCAGAACUGCAUAGAAUAGUUUUGGAGUCUGUGUCCUGUGCCCAGGGGCUGGUGGCCCAGCGUCUGUUGUUGAUGCUUAGUGUCUUCAAUGAUUCUCCCCUGCUCCACGCCACAGGGAUGGACUCUUG
ensembl:lincRNA Gm42952 predicted gene 42952